GACGAACGCUGGCGGCGUGCUUAACACAUGCAAGUCGAACGGUGACGAGGAGCUUGCUCCUCCGAUCAGUGGCGAACGGGUGAGUAACACGUGAGCAACCUGCCCCUCACUCUGGGAUAACAGUUGGAAACAGCUGCUAAUACCGGAUACGACACAGACAGGCAUCUGUACUGUGUGGAAAGUUUUUCGGUGAGGGAUGGGCUCGCGGCCUAUCAGUUUGUUGGUGGGGUAAUGGCCUACCAAGACGACGACGGGUAGCCGGCCUGAGAGGGCGACCGGCCACACUGGGACUGAGACACGGCCCAGACUCCUACGGGAGGCAGCAGUGGGGAAUAUUGCACAAUGGGCGAAAGCCUGAUGCAGCGACGCCGCGUGAGGGAUGACGGCCUCGG
rnacentral:rRNA from 1 species